UGGGGAAUUUUGGACAAUGGGGGAAACCCUGAUCCAGCCAUCCCGCGUGUGCGAUGAAGGCCUUCGGGUUGUAAAGCACUUUUGGCAGGAAAGAAACGUCAUGGGUUAAUACCCCGUGAAACUGACGGUACCUGCAGAAUAACCACCGGCUAACUACGUGCCAGCAGCCGCGGUAAUACGUAGGGUGCAAGCGUUAAUCGGAAUUACUGGGCGUAAAGCGUGCGCAGGCGGUUCGGAAAGAAAGAUGUGAAAUACCAGAGCUCAACUUUGGAACUGCAUUUUUAACUACCGGGCUAGAGUGUGUCAGGGGGAGGUGGAAUUCCGCGUGUAGCAGUGAAAUGCGUAGAUAUGCGGAGGAACACCGAUGGCGAAGGCAGCCUCCUAGGAUAACACUGACGCUCAUGCACGAAAGCGUGGGGAGCAAACAGG
rnacentral:rRNA from 1 species